rnacentral:rRNA from 1 species
GUCUAUUUGAAUAAAUAAAUAGUUUAACCUGCUCACUGAAAAUUAUUUUAAAGAGCCGCAGUAUCUUGACUGUGCAAAGGUAGCAUAAUCGUUAGUUUUUUAAUUGAAAUCUUGUAUGAAUGGUUGGACAAAAAAAAAAUUGUCUCUGUAUUAAUUAUUGAAUUUAACUUUUAAGUGAAAAGGCUUAAGUGUAUUAAAAAGACGAUAAGACCCUAUAAAGCUUUAUAUAAUAUUCUAACUAAACUGAAUUUUGAGAAUAAAAAGUUUAGUAAUUAUAUUUAUUUUGUUGGGGUGAUAAAGAUAAAAUGUUUAUUAACUAUAAAUUUAUUAAAACAAAGAUAAGUGAGUUUAAUUGUAAUGGAUCCUGAUUAAAGAUUUAAAGUUUAAGCUACUUUAGGGAUAACAGCGUUAUUUUUUUUGAGAGUUCUUAUCGAAAAAAGAGUUUGCGACCUCGAUGUUGAAUUAAAAUAGUCUGUACAAUUGCAGCAGUUGUAUAAGAAAGUCUGUUCGACUUUUAAAGUUUUACAUGAUUUGAGCUCAGACCGGCGUGAG